rnacentral:rRNA from 1 species
GGAUGGGUGAGUAACACGUGGGUAACCUGCCCUAAAGUCUGGGAUACCACUUGGAAACAGGUGCUAAUACCGGAUAACAACAAUAGCUGCAUGGCUAUUGCUUAAAAGGCGGCGAAAGCUGUCGCUAAAGGAUGGACCCGCGGUGCAUUAGCUAGUUGGUAAGGUAAUGGCUUACCAAGGCGACGAUGCAUAGCCGAGUUGAGAGACUGAUCGGCCACAUUGGGACUGAGACACGGCCCAAACUCCUACGGGAGGCAGCAGUAGGGAAUCUUCCACAAUGGGCGAAAGCCUGAUGGAGCAACGCCGCGUGAGUGAAGAAGGUUUUCGGAUCGUAAAGCUCUGUCGUUGGUGAAGAAGGAUAGAGGUAGUAACUGGCCCCUAUUUGACGGUAAUCAACCAGAAAGUCACGGCUAACUACGUGCCAGCAGCCGCGGUAAUACGUAGGUGGCAAGCGUUGUCCGGAUUUAUUGGGCGUAAAGCGAGCGCAGGCGGAAAGAUAAGUCUGAUGUGAAAGCCCCCGGCUUAACCGAGGAAUUGCAUCGGAAACUGUGUUUCUUGAGUGCAGAAGAGGAGAGUGGAACUCCAUGUGUAGCGGUGGAAUGCGUAGAUAUAUGGAAGAACACCAGUGGCGAAGGCGGCUCUCUGGUCUGUAACUGACGCUGAGGCUCGAAAGCAUGGGUAGCGAACAGGAUUAGAUACCCUGGUAGUCCAUGCCGUAAACGAUGAGUGCUAAGUGUUGGGAGGUUUCCGCCUCUCAGUGCUGCAGCUAAC